CGACGUCAAGUCAUCAUGCCCCUUACGUGUAGGGCUACACACGUGCUACAAUGGCAUUUACAGAGGGAAGCGAGACAGUGAUGUGGAGCGGACCCCUUAAAGAAUGUCGUAGUCCAGAUUGGAGUCUGCAACUCGACUCCAUGAAGUCGGAAUCGCUAGUAAUCGCAGGUCAGAAUACUGCGGUGAAUACGUUCCCGGGCCUUGUACACACCGCCCGUCACACCAUGGAGUGGGAUGCAAAAGAAGUAGUUAGUCUAACCUUCGGGAGGACGAUUACCACUUUGUGUUUCAUGACUGGGGUGAAGUCGUAACAAGGUAACCCUAGGGGAACCUGGGGUUGGAUCACCUCCUUACCAUUACGUCGAUAGACGCACUUGAUGCAGUGCCUACACAGAUUGUUUUGUUUAUUUAUAAAGACUCACUUCGCGAGUGUCGCGAUUAAUUGCUUUACUGGAAGCCGAGCUUCCUGACAAUUAAUCUACUCGCUAAAGAAGUGAAACCUAGAUGUUUCAAUGUAGAGUACUAAUUAAUGAUCGCAUCAUUGAUUAGUGUUUUUCGAAGCACUAAUGUUCUUUAACAAUUUGGAAAGCUGAUAUUAAUAGUAAUCAAUCAAAAUUGAGUAACUGAGAAGUCGAAAGACGUACUUUUUACUCUACUUGACUUGAAUUGCUUGUUAUCAACAUUGAUUGAUAGCAAGGCAAUUCUUCCGAUUAGCUUGUCAUGCAUACAACAUUACCCUUGUCCGAUUUCAAAAGGCGGACAUGAGGCCGAUACUCAAGGCUUUUUAGGGUUGUAUGGUUAAGUGACGAAGCGUAUACGGUGGAUGCCUUGGCAGUUAGAGGCGAUGAAGGACGUGUAAGUCUGCGAAAAGCUGUGGUGAGCCGACAA
rnacentral:sRNA from 1 species